rnacentral:rRNA from 1 species
UACGGAGGGUGCGAGCGUUAUCCGGAAUCACUGGGUUUAAAGGGUGCGUAGGCGGCCUUAUAAGUCAGUUGUGAAAUAUCCUCGCUUAACGAGGGGACUGCGAUUGAUACUGUAGGGCUUGAAUUGGGUUGAGGCAGGCGGAAUGUGGCAUGUAGCGGUGAAAUGCAUAGAUAUGCCAUAGAACACCGAUUGCGAAGGCAGCUUGCUGGGCCUUGAUUGACGCUGAGGCACGAAAGCGUGGGGAGCAAACAGGAUUAGAUACCCUGGUAGUCCACGCCCUAAACGAUGUUUACUUGCUGUUCCGGUUUCGGUUGGAGUGGCGAAGCGAAAGCGAUAAGUAAACCACCUGGGGAGUACGCCGGCAACGGCGAA